GACGAACGCUGGCGGCGUGCUUAACACAUGCAAGUCGAACGAUGAAGCCUAGCUUGCUAGGUGGAUUAGUGGCGAACGGGUGAGUAAUACGUGAGUAACCUACCUUUAACUCUGGGAUAAGCCUGGGAAACUGGGUCUAAUACCGGAUACGACCAAUCUCCGCAUGGGGUGUUGGUGGAAAGCGUUAUGUAGUGGUUAUAGAUGGGCUCACGGCCUAUCAGCUUGUUGGUGAGGUAACGGCUCACCAAGGCGACGACGGGUAGCCGGCCUGAGAGGGUGACCGGCCACACUGGGACUGAGACACGGCCCAGACUCCUACGGGAGGCAGCAGUGGGGAAUAUUGCACAAUGGGCGCAAGCCUGAUGCAGCGACGCCGCGUGAGGGAUGACGGCCUUCGGGUUGUAAACCUCUGUUAGCAGGGAAGAAGAGAGAUUGACGGUACCUGCAGAGAAAGCGCCGGCUAACUACGUGCCAGCAGCCGCGGUAAUACGUAGGGCGCGAGCGUUGUCCGGAAUUAUUGGGCGUAAAGAGCUUGUAGGCGGUUUGUCGCGUCUGCUGUGAAGGCCGGAGCUUAACUCCGUGUAUUGCAGUGGGUACGGGCAGACUAGAGUGCAGUAGGGGAGACUGGAAUUCCUGGUGUAGCGGCGGAAUGCGCAGAUAUCAGGAGGAACACCGAUGGCGAAGGCAGGUCUCUGGGCUGUAACUGACGCUGAGAAGCGAAAGCAUGGGGAGCGAACAGGAUUAGAUACCCUGGUAGUCCAUGCCGUAAACGUUGGGCACUAGGUGUGGGGAACAUUCCACGUUUUCCGCGCCGUAGCUAACGCAUUAAGUGCCCCGCCUGGGGAGUACGGCCGCAAGGCUAAAACUCAAAGAAAUUGACGGGGGCCCGCACAAGCGGCGGAGCAUGCGGAUUAAUUCGAUGCAACGCGAAGAACCUUACCAAGGCUUGACAUAUACUGGACCGCAUCAGAGAUGGUGUUUCCCUUCGGGGCUGGUAUACAGGUGGUGCAUGGUUGUCGUCAGCUCGUGUCGUGAGAUGUUGGGUUAAGUCCCGCAACGAGCGCAACCCUCGUUCUAUGUUGCCAGCACGUUAGGGUGGGGACUCAUAGGAGACUGCCGGGGUCAACUCGGAGGAAGGUGGGGAUGACGUCAAAUCAUCAUGCCCCUUAUGUCUUGGGCUUCACGCAUGCUACAAUGGCCGGUACAGAGGGUUGCGAUACUGUGAGGUGGAGCUAAUCCCUAAAAGCCGGUCUCAGUUCGGAUUGGGGUCUGCAACUCGACCCCAUGAAGUCGGAGUCGCUAGUAAUCGCAGAUCAGCAACGCUGCGGUGAAUACGUUCCCGGGCCU
rnacentral:rRNA from 1 species